UACAGAGGGUGCGAGCGUUAAUCGGAAUUACUGGGCGUAAAGCGCGCGUAGGCGGCUUUGCAAGUCGGGUGUGAAAUCCCCAGGCUUAACCUGGGAACUGCAUUCGAGACUGCAUUGCUAGAGUAUGGGAGAGGGAAGUGGAAUUUCCGGUGUAGCGGUGAAAUGCGUAGAUAUCGGAAGGAACAUCAGUGGCGAAAGCGACUCCUGGACCAAUACUGACGCUCAUGUGCGAAAGCGUGGGGAGCAAACAGGAUUGAGAA
rnacentral:rRNA from 1 species